CCUACGGGAGGCAGCAGUGGGGGAUAUUGGACAAUGGGCGCAACCCUGACCCAGCAACGCCGCGUGAGUGAAGAAGUCUUUCGGGUUGUAAACUUCUGUUAUCAGGGACGAAAGAAAUGACGGUACCUGACGAAUAAGCCACGGCUAACUACGUGCCAGCAGCCGCGGUAAUACGUAGGUGGCAAGCGUUAUCCGGAGUUAUUGGGUGUAAAGGGCGUGUAGACGGGAAUGCAAGUCAGAUGUGAAAACUAUGGGCUCAACCCAUAGACUGCAUUUGAAACUGUAUUUCUUGAGUGCUGGAGAGGCAAGCGGAAUUCCGGGUGUAGCGGUGAAAUGCGUAGAUAUAAGGAGGAACACCAGUGGCGAAGGCGGAUUGCUGGACAGUAACUGACGCUGAGGCGCGAAAGCGUGGGGAGCAAACAGGAUUAGAUACCCGAGUAGUC
rnacentral:rRNA from 1 species